rnacentral:rRNA from 1 species
AUUGAACGCUGGCGGCAUGCCUUACACAUGCAAGUCGAACGGCAGCACGGGGCAACCUGGUGGCGAGUGGCGAACGGGUGAGUAAUGCAUCGGAACGUGCCUUUCAGUGGGGGAUAACGUAGCGAAAGUUACGCUAAUACCGCAUAUUCUGUGAGCAGGAAAGCAGGGGAUCGCAAGACCUUGCGCUGAUUGAGCGGCCGAUGUCAGAUUAGCUAGUUGGUGAGGUAAAGGCUCACCAAGGCGACGAUCUGUAGCGGGUCUAAGCGGACGAGCCGCCGCACUGGGACGGGGACCCGGUCCAGAGUCCUACGGGAGGCAGCAGUGGGGAUGUUUGGACAAUGGGGGCAACCCUGAUCCAGCCAUGCCGCGUGAGUGAAGAAGGCGUUCGGGUUGUAAAGCUCUUUCGGCCGGGAAGAAAUCGCGCCAGUUAAUACCUGGUGUGGAUGACGGUACCGGAAUAAGAGGCACCGGCUAACUACGUGCCAGCCGCCGCAGUAAAAC